rnacentral:rRNA from 1 species
GUCCACGCCCUAAACUAUGUCAACUGGUUGUCGGGGAAGCAAUUCCUUGGUAACGAAGCUAACGCGUGAAGUUGACCGCCUGGGGAGUACGGCCGCAAGGUUAAAACUCAAAGGAAUUGACGGGGACCCGCACAAGCGGUGGAUUAUGUGGAUUAAUUCGAUGCAACGCGAAAAACCUUACCUACCCUUGACAUGUACGGAAUCUCGCAGAGAUGUGAGAGUGCUCGAAAAGAGAACCGUAACACAGGUGCUGCAUGGCUGUCGU